rnacentral:rRNA from 1 species
GACGAACGCUGGCGGCGUGCCUAAUACAUGCAAGUUGAACGCAACAAAGACACCAGAGCUUGCUCUACCGUCUUUGUUGAGUAGCGAACGGGGUGAGUAACGCGUGGGUAACCUGCCUUAUAGCGGGGGGAUAACUAUUGGAAACGAUAGCUAAUACCGCAUAACAAUAGAGAUUGCAUAAUCUUUAUUUGAAAGUGCCAACUGGUACACUAUGAGAUGGACCCGCGUUGUAUUAGCUAGUUGGUAGUGUAAUUGGACUACCAAGGCGAUGACACAUAGCCGACUGAGAGGGUGAUCGGCCACAUUGGGACUGAGACACGGCCCAAACUCCUACGGGAGGCAGCAGUAGGGAAUCUUCGGCAAUGGACGAAAG